rnacentral:rRNA from 1 species
CAGCAGCCGCGGGAAUACAGAGGGUGCAAGCGUUAAUCGGAAUUACUGGGCGUAAAGCGCGCGUAGGUGGUUUGUUAAGUUGGAUGUGAAAGCCCCGGGCUCAACCUGGGAACUGCAUCCAAAACUGGCAAGCUAGAGUACGGUAGAGGGUGGUGGAAUUUCCUGUGUAGCGGUGAAAUGCGUAGAUAUAGGAAGGAACACCAGUGGCGAAGGCGACCACCUGGACUGAUACUGACACUGAGGUGCGAAAGCGUGGGGAGCAAACAGGAUUAGAUACCCCUGUAGUCCCUGUCUCUUAUAU